GUCAAAAGUUGCGAAUCGCUGUACGUAUCGCUUUACGAAUCGCCGGCGCCGGUAGUUUUUUCUCGUUUUUCUGCUGUUUUGUAAAUUGUUUUUUUUUUUUAAUCGAAUAAGCCGAAGAAGAUUUGUUUUUUAGUGAACUGUUAAAUAAAAAACUUUUGUGCUACUCGAUUUGCUAAAAUGAAAAGGCAAUCGAAAGUUGUGAAUCGCCAUCGCCGCGGGUUGUUUUGGUUGUUUCGUGUGAAGCAAAUCGGAUAAAUUGGAUAAAGUUUCUUUUCUAGUGAAGUGUUGAAUGAUGAAAAAAUUUGAUGAAAUCGUUGCCGGAUAUUUGAAUCGUUUUGUUAGUGCUAUCAGCAAUAUCCUUUAAGCCAGUAAACUUAGUUGGAACGUCAUACUAGAUUAUUCCCCCACGAAAACGGCGAAUGUUUAUACGUUUAACCCAACAAGCAACAGCAGAACAAGCAAAGUUGUUGCAUCACUGAUUUACGAUGGCUUAUUAAAAUUUACAAGGCAGGUCUAAUAAGCAAAAAGACCUAUUUCAGUGAUCAGGAUGCAGGACCGUUGGCGACACCGAAAUUAUUACAAAAAGAUCCAGCACUGAUUGAAAUACCUCCAAGUACGUCGAUCACACCAAUAUCAACGUUUUAUGGGGACCAGUGCCGAAGGAGCUGAUUACAGCGGAAUGUACCGCUAAUUGUUACAAUUCUCAAAAAAUUGUGAGGAUAUUCCGGCUUGUUUGGUUUGCUGACGAAACCUGCCAUUCGUUUGUUGGGUGUUGACUGGUGGCGCAUUUCAGACAGACAGGGCUUUGAUUUUGAUAAGGAUACAAAAUAAUUACAGACGGUGAAAAACAGUAUGCCAUCAAACGUGCCACCCACCAUGCCAAUCACAGUAUGUUCAUAUUCAUAAAAGGACCACCACCCAUGAACGGCAUUGUCGAAGACAAUUUUUUAAAAUAACGACUUUAACGACUUGGUUACCAAUCAAAUUGAAAAUCGUGGAACAAUUUUGUCGAUAUCAGUGGUGGUGACGGCUUUGGUAGUGGUCGGCGCCACUAAAGCAACUGGAUGAACAAUUAUCGUUGAGGCCUCCGAAGUAGCCACUACCGGCCACUAUGGCUAUCAACCAUUAUUCUGCUUGUUAUAGAGCAUAUUUUUCAUAGAGCAUAAUAUAACAGCGCUUAGUAUAUAAGAUGAAAACUAUGCCAAAUGAGCUAACGUCGAAUAUCGACCAUUCUUGGUUUAAAUUAAACUUUACUCACGUUUGAAUAACUUAAAAAAGCUCAUGUGUCAUUUUUGACUAACAAAAUUCUUAAUGAAUACUCUUUUUCUAUUUACGAAGAUAAAAGUUGUUUUUCUUUUAAAUUUUAUUUUUGAGAAACUUAAAAUUAAUCCGUUAUGUACUACAGUCAUACCUCGAUAUAAGGCAACUUUAUUUUUAUUUUCGUGACGUUAUAUCGAAGCAAAACAUUUUUUUUUUUCGAUUUAUGCAAGAUUGUUAAUGGUUACUCAAAGAUGCGCGAAAUAUUUUCAGAAGCAAAAAAAAAAUUUUUUUUUCAAUUGAUACAAGAGGUCACAAAGAUGCGUGAAAACCUAUUUACCAUCACCUAUCAGUAUUUUCAAACCAUUCUCAUGCCCAUUCAGGAAAAUUUUCAACAAGCAAAAAAAAGUUUUUUUAAUUGAUGCAAGACUGUUGGUGGUUACUCACAGAUGCGCGAAAACCUAUUUUACAUCACCUAUCAGUAUUUUCAAACCUUUCUCAUGCCCAUUUAGAGAAAAUUAACAAGCAAACAAUUUUUUUUAAUUGAUGCAAGACUGAAUUGUUACUGAAGGAUGCGUGGAAACAUAUUUUCCAUCACCUAUUAGUAUUUUUAAACCUUCCUUAUGCCCAUUUUGGACAAUUUUCGCAUUGAUUUCAAAACAUACUACAAACAUUUUUUUUGAAGCAAUUUAUAGCCCAAAACAGUUGCUAUAUCAUUUAUUUUCAAUUUCAAUUUAAAAAGUUACGUUAUAUCGAGGUAAAAGUUACGUUAUAUCGAGUUACGUUAUAUCGAGGUUGCCUUAUAUCGAGGUAUGACUGUAGUAUUGUUGUAUUGUUCUAAUCAAGAAAAAAAGUGAAAAAACUUCUUCCCAAUUUUCCACAACCGAGUUUUUUACUGUUCGUUCUACCACACAGUAGGCCAAUGUGUGAAUAAAAAAAUAUGAUUUUAUUGAAAUUUUAAAAUAUUCAGGAUACACAUGAACAUUACGUUUUUUUACAAAUGAAUAGUGUUGGUUUGUGACUCUGCAUGAGAGUGGUGAGGUGAAACUUUCACCGCUUUAAAGGACGACUUCCCGAAAUCCGAUUGAGUUAAAACUGUGCAUGGGGAUUUCCUUCGAGACGACGAAACUUUCGAUUCCUACUGCUAAAGGAAUUUGAAGUUUGAUUGGCAUCCAGAGAUCACGUGUCACAAAUCGAGAUCACGAGAUCACGUAUCAAAUAACUGUUCGGUAGAACGAACGCGUCAUAACGCUUGUAGAAUAUUGAUAAAUGGUACAAAAAUACUGAAAUAUGUCAAAAUUAAUAGUUUAAAUUUGUUUCUUUCAGCUUCAUUUUUUUUUUCAUUUGUGUUUUUGAAUACAUUUGCACGAGACCUUUUUUAUCUUAUCUCAGUUAUUAGUAAUAAAGUUUUUAAAGUACUGUUCAAUAAAUCAAGCAACUGAUCCAUAAAUAAUGAAAACAAAAUUUUUUGACAAAAAAAUCAGAAUGGAGAAAUGAAAGAAGUUUUUUUGAGGGGAAUUUUGAGAUCUAUUUGUCGACUGUUACGGUUAGUUUUGUGGGAUUGUCAGCCAUUAGUCCGUGUAUAAAAAAAGUUAAGCUUUAGAUUCUUUUUCCAAUUUCAACAAUUUCGAGAAUAAUUUCAUUCAUGGUGUUAGGGAACAUCCAUAAAUGACGCAGCUUUUCUAGGUUUUUUUUACCCUCCCCCUUCCCCCACCGUAGCAUUUCGUCACAAAAUCAAGACCCUUCCUUUAGAUAAUCACGUAGCUUUAUAACAAAACACCCCACCCCAAGAUAUUUGCAAAUUUUAUCAUCAAACACACAUAAAUGAAUAAGAAAAGACAAGAAAGUAAUAAAACAUUACCCUAAACAGACAAAGUGAUAAAAAAGAACAAUUGAAAAAAAUUUUUUUUUUCUUGGUUUCGUAUUCGCUACGUAGCUUGGCUUAACCCCCCCCCCUUCCCCUCGUCACAUUUUAACACAAAACUACCAAUCCUCCCCUCCCCUUUGAAUGCUACGUCAUUCAUGAACGUUCCCUUAUAUGAUUUUAACGGUUAUUUUGAAACUAAAAAUUCUUAGUUAAUUUCCUGAAUACACACGUUUUCAAGUAUUCUUGAGUCUAAGUAUAGAAAAUUGGGAAAUAAACACUAAAUUAUAAAUUGGCACUUUCUUCAUUUUUUCACUGAUACCAAACCAAAACCAUAAAAAAAUAAUUGCACAAAAAUGUCCCAGUUUUAAUUUUUUCCAUUGUCAUUGUUGAUUUGGUUGAAAUUUUGCAUAGAUGUUUGUUUUUAUUUUUAAGGAUUGAUUUUUAGAGACAAAACGUUUCGUUUGAUCGGUUGACGGCAAAGUUGUGAAUGAUAAUUUUAGCUUUCUAAAAAAUAUACACCCAAAAAAAAAACUUUUUUAGCAGAAAAUAAGUUAAAUUAACUGUCAGGACCCGAAGGACAAAUGAUGAAAGGUCCAAAAUUUUAUUUUUUGAGGAAAACUACAGCAUGGAGUAAAUCAAGGAAAAGUUAAAAAAAUUAAAAGUGAAACCAAUAUUUAAGCCAGAACGAAUUAUUUGAUUGGUAUAAGGUCUUGAGCAAAGUUUUAGACAAUAAAUUUGUCCUUCUCGAAAAAAUAUCCACCGUAUAACAACAUAUUUUUUUAAGAACCAAAAAUAUAAUUAUAAAUUAAAUAGGGUAUCGCUAGUGGUUAUCUUCGGCAGGUUUUUGGCAGCAGUAGUUUCAUGCAAAAACCUAUCGAAGAAAACCACUACAGAAGACGUUCGAUACUCUAUCUAAAAAAUCGCUUUUAAGGAGUCUGAAUUUUUUCUACGAGAACUGCACACUGUAAGUUCACCAAUCAACCUAA